GUACCGCUGACGAGUCCCACAAUAGAACGAAACGGCCGUCCAGUGC
rnacentral:hammerhead_ribozyme from 1 species